rnacentral:rRNA from 1 species
GAUGAACGCUAGCGGGAGGCCUAACACAUGCAAGCCGAGCGGUAUUUGUUCUUCCUAGCAGAGAUAGCGGCGCACGGGUGCGGAACACGUGUGCAACCUGCCUUUAUCUGUGGGAUAGCCUUUCGAAAGGAAGAUUAAUACCCCAUAAUAUAUUUAGUUUCAUCAUUUGAUAUUGAAAACUCCGGUGGAUAUAGAUGGGCCCGCGCAAGAUUAGAUAGUUGGUGAGGUAACGUCUCACCAAGUCAAUGAUCUUUAGGUGGGCUGAGAGGGUGAUCCACUACAAUUGUACCGAGAUACGGACCCGACUCCGAGGGAAGGCAGGAGAAUGUAACAUUGGAGGAUGGGUCAGGGCCGGACACCGCCACCUCGGGUGAAGGAGGAUGGGCAUAGGAGAUGUCAGUUUCUUUUGUAUAGGGAUAAACCAACUAUCGUGAGAGUAGUUGAAGGUACUAUACGAAUAAGCCACGGCUAACUACGUG